UCUUCGCUCAAAAGAAACCAGAGAAAGUGAGAGAAAUCGAGAAAAAAGAAAACUAAUAUCAAUCUGAAACAGAAACUGAACCAAAACUCUUAGUUGAUUUAUGAUUUUCUAAACCUAAAUCUCAUUUGAAAAACCCUAAUUUACAAAUCAAAAUCUUUGAUUUUGUAAACUGAGUUUUGAUUUUGGAUUGAAACUCUCGGAAGAAGAUUCAAUUGAAAAGUAGAAACCCUACAAAUCUCUAUCCUCAGGUAAGAAAUAUCCUUUUUACAGAAAUCGAUUUUGAUUGAUAAACCCUAAAAAUUUGAUUUCUAAUUUUUGUGUCUGAAAUUCGCAAAAGAAGAUUGAAGUAAAAUCCUUGAAGAUUCAGGUAUUACCUCUACCCUAUUUGUUUUUUUUUUAUCUCUAUGUUUUGCAAGUUGUUUGUUUGAUUUAUGUAUUUAUGAAUUGAUUUCCAUUUGAGGGUUAUGUGUUUGAUUUUUUACUGUGGGUCUGUGAACUGAUUUCUGUUUGAUAUUAACCCUUUGUUUGUUUGUUUUUUCUCUAUAUAUUUUGCAAGUUGUGUGUUUGAUUUUUUGUUUCUAUGAACUGAUUUCUAUUUGAGGGUUAUGUUACUUUGUAUUUGAUUUCUCGUUUCGUGUCUUUGAGUUUGCUUUUUGUUAUAAAUUCAUUACAUACUAAGUUCCAUUUUCAUAUUGCUAGAGGUUUACUUGUUGGUUUAGUUUAUUUUGUGUGUAGAGAAUUCUAGAAAAAUCAAGUCUUUCUUAAAGGGAUGACAAAUUCAUGCUCUACAUGCUUACUGCUGGGAAGAAAGCUCUGGCUGAUGGUGGGAUCUCGGAAGAGGUCAUGAAUGAACUGGAUAAAACUAGGUGUGGUGUGAUGAUUGGCUAUGGGAUGGGUGGUAUGAAGGUUUUCAAUGAUGCAAUUGAAGCCUUAAGGAUAUCUUACAAAAGGAUGAAUCCUUUUUGUGUUCCGUUUGCUACUACAAGUAUGGGUUCUGCCAUGCUCACAAUAGAUCUGGGAUGGAUGGGCCCAAACUAUUCUAUCUCAACGACCUGUGCCACCAGCAACAUCUUUAUUCUGAAUGCAAGGAAUCACAUCAUUAGAGGAGAAGUUGAUGUGAUGCUCCGUGGAGGCUCCGAUUCAGUAAUAAUACCUUUAGGAGGUUUUGUGGCAUGUAGAGCAUUUUCAAAAAGCAAAGAGGAUCCAACCAAAGCUCUUGGGAUAUUGUACUUACCUAUGAUAUUUUCUCUUACACAAAUAUGUAUUAACAGCUUUUGUACGAAAUAUAAAAUUGGCAGAUUAGUUAGUCAUAUUUCAGAUCAAGCUAGUGUUUCAGUUUUCGGCUAUGUAUCAAUUACAUGUCAUAGUAUUAGAAAUUUUUAUUUAUCAAACUAUCACUAUCCAAUUUAGAAAUUAUUAACCCAUGCGAAGUAGAGAUGGAGUUCUACUUCUUGAAGAAUUAGACCAUGCGAAGAAAAGAGGAGCAACUAUCUAUGCUAAGUUUCUUGGCGGAAGCUUUACUUCUGAUGCUUAUCGUAUGACCGAGUUGGAAUUUUCGUUAUAGUUGAACUGCACAUGGUUGGGGAUCAGCAUCGAGGGUAUCUUUAGGAGCUGAUGUUGACCAAACUUCGGUAUGCAGCGGGGGAAGGUAAUACAUAAUCAUCUAGCGGAGAAAGCUCUGGUUCAACCUUGCUCAUGGUUUACAGACUGUUGGAACUAUGCAAUGAGAUGACUUGUGAAUGAAAUGCUUAUCGGGUCUAUCGCCAAAGAAGUUGGAUCAUAGUAAAUUCUUGGCACAGGACAGUUCAAGGUUUUAGAUAGAAUAUGAAGACAUAAUAGAAGGUGCCUCUAAAUUUGGUACUUGUCUCCAAUCUGAUCUUAAACUGUUGGACUGACAAUCUACAUCAAGGAUACCUUCAUUGUCACUCAUUUGGUACUUGUCACUCAUUUGUAGGGUGUACCAUGUUAUUCAAUACCAAAAUAUGCUCAACUUUGAUCCCAAAUGGUAGUGCCAGACUUGCAGUUAUAGGAAGUAGCUGUUUUUUUAUAUAAUUUUAAGUACCUGUUACUGGUAAUCACAUGUGUUUCAAGCCAGGUGUAAAAGCUAAGACUUUGAAGCAACCCAAGGCACAACAAAAAGAAUAUGAUGAGACUGACUUGGCAAAUCUUCAGAAGAAGAAGAGGGAAGCUUUAUGUUAGGUGGUGCUGGACUAAACAAAAGUGAACAGAUCUGAACAAGAUGCUCUAGUAAAGGUGGAAUUAUAAGGAAAUCAAGAAGACAAAGUUGGAUAAGCAUAAUAUGAUUUGAGUUAACAAGUUAUAUAGGUAGUUUCUUUUUUUCUAAAUUCUUGUAGAAAAUGUAUCCACUGAUGCAUGAUGAAGUCCGGUGACAUUGAUUGAACAAGAAACCCAAAAUAUGCUCAACAUUGAUCCCAAAUUGUUGAGACAUACUUUUUAUCCAUAGUUUAUUUUGUUAAAAUUCAGUGAUCUUACAUCUGUAACUGAUUGUAUGGAUGGAUCAAUAUGUGAUGCUGCAAUUCCAUGUGAUAAUAGAAUUGAUUGAAUAAUGGUUUCAUUUAUGA